AUUCAUGACCAUCGUCAUCAUAAACUAACUAUCACUUUCUUUAAUUCUUCAAAAACGCAUUCUCUAAUUUCUCUCCAAACCCAAAUAUUUUCCUUCAUUUUUUAGCAACUUAGAAUCCUCCAAUCAGAAAACCUCCAACUACAAAGUUGUUUCACUACUUGAGAGGAUUGCAAAGAGUUGAGGAUCACUAGUUGAGGUACAAUAAAAUUGAGAGGUGUUGUUGGAAUCAUCAGAUAGGUUAUGCUACCACAGCGUAAGUUGCUUGUCUAAUAAAGCACUGUCGAGGUAAGGGCACUUUCUAACGAUUUUAUAUACGCUUGAAUGCAGAGUGUGUAUGUAUGCAUGUUCUUUGUGAUUGUGGUGAAUAAAGGUACACACGAUUGUUUAUGUAUUUUGAUGUCAUUAUGUAUUCUUAACUGAUAACAUAUGUGUUAUGAAUUUUAUUGACGAGAAUAUGUCUUGAGUAUGCUCUGUGAAAAAGUAUUAAAAAUUAUUAAUGUUUAAUGAGUAUUAGAAGGAGAGGUUUUUAAUAACUGCAUUUACAUAAUGAUUGAUUUGGAAGAGUCAGAGCAUGCUCAUGUAUUUCAUAGUUAAUGGUGAUCUUGAUGGGCCACAGUGUUAGUGGUGACUGUGAUGGGCCAUGGGGUGGUUCCUUAAGUUGAUCGGUCCACCUUAUCCUUACAAGGAUUUUGGAGUCGUGUAGGUCUGUGAUAGACAAAACUCUAGUAAAUCGUGCUGAACUGUGAUAGGUGGCACCUCAAUAAUUAGUUUUGGCCUGUGAGAGGCGGUACAUUUAUGAUUUACGCCCCUCGAGGAAGGUGAGGAAAUUUCAGAAUCAUGUGCAUUAGCAUAUAAGCAUUUCAUUAUGGUGCUUUGUCACACGAGUCAUGUUUGUUAUAUGAUAAUAUUUAUAUGCAUAUUUGUUUAUCAAUUGAUCCCAUGUCAUGUUAUGCUUUCGUGAUUUGUAUUUUCGUAUGUAUGUUGUUUUUAGAUUGUCACCCUCUACUAUUAUUGUGGAUCGGGCUUCCUCCCCAGGUUCUUAUAGUUUUGAGUUGUGCGAGAAUUGCAACGACGUCGAAGACAUGACAGAGUGAUGAUUUUGGAUUGACAAUCAAAAGCAGUGAGACUUGAUGCCACUAGUGGACCCUCAGUAUCCAGUCAUCCUCAGCUGAAGGAUUGGGAGUAUAGAGCAGUAUAAUUAAGAAAUUUUGAAUGGCAUUGAUUUGGAGUCUAGAGCAAUCAGGUGUCACAUUUACAAUUCACAUAUGACACAAUAGUAAUUGGAGAGUAGAAUUGGUGAAUAUGCAAGCAUUAAAAUCUAUAUUACAUUUGUUUGAAUUGACACCGAGUUUGAAGGUAUAAUUUUGUAAAAGUAGUUCUAUGUGGAUAAAUGUGUCUAGAACUUAGUUGAAAGAAUCAUCAUUGUUACUAAAGUGUAAA